rnacentral:rRNA from 1 species
CAGCAGCCGCGGGAAAACGGAGGGGGCUAGCGUUGUUCGGAAUUACUGGGCGUAAAGGGCGCGUAGGCGGAUUGUUUAGUUAGGCGUGAAAUUCCUGGGCUUAACCUGGGGACUGCGCUUAAUACAGGCAGUCUAGAGUGAGGAAGAGGGUUGUGGAAUUCCCAGUGUAGAGGUGAAAUUCGUAGAUAUUGGGAAGAACACCGGUGGCGAAGGCGGCAACCUGGUCCUUGACUGACGCUGAGGCGCGAAAGCGUGGGGAGCAAACAGGAUUAGAUACCCCAGUAGUCCCUGUCUCUUAUAC